rnacentral:rRNA from 1 species
GUGGUGAAUCUUCCGCAAUGGACGAAAGUCUGACGGAGCAACGCCGCGUGAGUGAAGAAGGUUUUCGGAUCGUAAAGCUCUUUCGUUAGGGACGAACGUGCUCUUUGUGAAUAAUGAGGAGUAAUGACGGUACCUAAAUAAGAAGCCACGGCUAACUACGUGCCAGCAGCCGCGGUAAUACGUAGGUGGCAAGCGUUGUCCGGAAUUAUUGGGCGUAAAGCGCGCGCAGGCGGGAUAUCAAGUCUGUCUUAAAAGUGCGAGGCUCAACCUCGUGAGGGGACAGAAACUGGUAUUCUUGAGUGUCGGAGAGGAAAGUGGAAUUCCAAGUGUAGCGGUGAAAUGCGUAGAGAUUUGGAAGAACACCAGUGGCGAAGGCGACUUUCUGGACGAUGUCUGACGCUGAGGCGCGAAAGCUAGGGGAGCGAACGGGAUUAGAUACCCGGGUGUCC